rnacentral:rRNA from 1 species
AACGAACGCUGGCGGCAGGCCUAACACAUGCAAGUCGAACGAUAAGCCACCUUCGGGUGGUGGACAGUGGCAGACGGGUGAGUAACGCGUGGGAACGUGCCUUUCGGUUCGGAAUAACCCAGGGAAACUUGGGCUAAUACCGGAUACGCCCUUCGGGGGAAAGAUUCAUUGCCGAAAGAUCGGCCCGCGUCGGAUUAGCUAGUUGGUGGGGUAAUGGCUCACCAAGGCGACGAUCCGUAGCUGGUCUGAGAGGAUGACCAGCCACACUGGGACUGAGACACGGCCCAGACUCCUACGGGAGGCAGCAGUGGGGAGUAUUGGACAAUGGGCGCAAGCCUGAUCCAGCCAUGCCGCGUGGGUGAAGAAGGCCUUAGGGUUGUAAACCCCUUUCAGCGGGGAAGAUAAUGACGGUACCCGCAGAAGAAGUCCCGGCUAACUCCGUGCCAGCCGCCGCCGUAA